AGCGAACGCUGGCGGCAGGCCUAACACAUGCAAGUCGAACGAACUCUUCGGAGUUAGUGGCGGACGGGUGAGUAACACGUGGGAACGUGCCUUUUGGUUCGGAAUAACUCAGGGGAACUUGUGCUAAUACCGAAUGUGCCCUUCGGGGGAAAGAUUUAUCGCCAUUAGAGCGGCCCGCGUCUGAUUAGCUAGUUGGUGAGGUAACGGCUCACCAAGGCGACGAUCAGUAGCUGGUCUGAGAGGAUGACCAGCCACACUGGGACUGAGACACGGCCCAGACUCCUACGGGAGGCAGCAGUGGGGAAUCUUGCGCAAUGGGCGAAAGCCUGACGCAGCCAUGCCGCGUGAAUGAUGAAGGUCUUAGGAUUGUAAAAUUCUUUCAACGGGGACGAUAAUGACGGUACCCGGAGAAGAAGCCCCGGCUAACUUCGUG
rnacentral:rRNA from 1 species